AGUUUGUGUCGUUUGGUCGACCUGCUGAUAGUGUCGGCUUUAGUUCCAGCCAAGCGAGGGAUUCAGUUUGUGUCGUCAGGUCGACCUGCUGUUAGUGUCGGCUUUAGUUCCAGCCAAGCGCUACCAGAACCGGACUCAACUGAUCACUCUGACAUAAAUAGAUAAUGAUUGAUAAGAGGUUCUGUAAUAAAGACGUUGAUUAGAUCAAUGAGUUGUUACUGUUGAGUCGGAGCAAAAACCUGCAGCUGUAGGGUCAGAUUAGACCCCCUGGUUAGACUCCAAACAGCUGUAGGGUCAGAUUAGACCCCCUGGUUUGACUCCAAACAGCUGUAGGGUCAGAUUGGACCCCUGGUUAGACUCCAAACAGCUGUAGGGUCAGAUUAGACCCCCUGGUUAGACUCCAAACAGCUGUAGGGUCAGAUUAGACCCCCUGGUUAGACUCCAAACAGCUGUAGGGUCAGAUUAGACCCCCUGGUUUGACUCCAAACAGCUGUAGGGUCAGAUUAGACCCCCUGGUUAGACUCCAAACAGCUGUAGGGUCAGAUUAGACCCCCUGGUUUGACUCCAAACAGCUGUAGGGUCAGAUUAGACCCCCUGGUUUGACUCCAAACAGCUGUAGGGUCAGAUUAGACCCCCUGGUUAGACUCCAAACAGCUGUAGGGUCAGAUUAGACCCCCUGGUUAGACUCCAAACAGCUGUAGGGUCAGAUUAGACCCCCUGGUUUGACUCCAAACAGCUGUAGGGUCAGAUUAGACCCCCUGGUUUGACUCCAAACAGCUGUAGGGUCAGAUUAGACCCCCUGGUUAGACUCCAAACAGCUGUAGGGUCAGAUUAGACCCCCUGGUUUGACUCCAAACAGCUGUAGGGUCAGAUUAGACCCCCUGGUUAGACUCCAAACAGCUGUAGGGUCAGAUUGGACCCCUGGUUUGACUCCCAAACAGCUGUAGGGUCAGAUUGGACCCCCUGGUUAGACUCCAAACAGCUGUAGGGUCAGAUUGGACCCCCUGGUUUGACCCCAAACAGCUGUAGGGUCAGAUUGGACCCCUGGUUAGACCCCAAACAGCUGUAGGGUCAGAUUGGACCCCUGGUUAGACUCCAAACAGCUGUAGGGUCAGAUUAGACCCCCUGGUUUGACUCCAAACAGCUGUAGGGUCAGAUUAGACCCCCUGGUUUGACUCCAAACAGCUGUAGGGUCAGAUUAGACCCCCUGGUUUGACUCCAAACAGCUGUAGGGUCAGAUUAGACCCCCUGGUUUGACUCCAAACAGCUGUAGGGUCAGAUUAGACCCCCUGGUUAGACUCCAAACAGCUGUAGGGUCAGAUUAGACCCCCUGGUUUGACUCCAAACAGCUGUAGGGUCAGAUUGGACCCCCUGGUUAGACUCCAAACAGCUGUAGGGUCAGAUUAGACCCCCUGGUUAGACUCCAAACAGCUGUAGGGUCAGAUUAGACCCCCUGGUUUGACUCCAAACAGCUGUAGGGUCAGAUUGGACCCCCUGGUUGACCCCAAACAGCUGUAGGGUCAGAUUGGACCCCUGGUUAGACCCCAAACAGCUGUAGGGUCAGAUUGGACCCCCUGGUUUGACCCCAAACAGCUGUAGGUUCAGAUUGGACCCCUGGUUAGACUCCAAACAGCUGUAGGGUCAGAUUGGACCCCCUGGUUUGACUCCAAACAGCUGUAGGGUCAGAUUAGACCCCCUGGUUUGACUCCAAACAGCUGUAGGGUCAGAUUAGACCCCCUGGUUUGACUCCAAACAGCUGUAGGGUCAGAUUAGACCCCCUGGUUUGACCCCAAACCCUCAGAUGAUCAUGUGGAAUCAACAAAUCAACUUGUUUUUUUCUAGUUAUUUUUCAGACAUGAUUUAAAAUCUGUUGUUUUUCUAUUUUUCUUUUUUCAAUCCUCUGUUUGUUUUGACACUUUGUCUUCGGUCACUGGAUGAUUUAGUCUGCAUCUGAAAUGGCACCCUGUUCCCUAUGUAGGGCUCUGAUCAGAAGUAGUGCACUCUGUAGGGAAUAGGGUGUUAUAGAGCUCUGGCACCCUAUUCCCUAUGUAGGGCUCUGAUCAGAAGUAGUGCACUAUGUAGGGAAUAGGGUGUUAUAGAGCCCUGGCACCCUGUUCCCUAUGUAGGGCUCUGAUCAGAAGUAGUGCACUAUGUAGGGAAUAGGGUGUUAUAGAGCCCUGGCACCCUAGUUCCCUAUGUAGGGCUCUGAUCAGAAGUAGUGCACUAUGUAGGGAAUAGGGUGUUAUAGAGCCCUGGCACCCUAUUCCCUAUGUAGGGCUCUGAUCAGAAGUAGUGCACUAUGUAGGGAAUAGGGUGUUAUAGAGCCCUGGCACCCUACUCCCUAUGUAGGGCUCUGAUCAGAAGUAGUGCACUAUGUAGGGAAUAGGGUGUUAUAGAGCUCUGGCACCCUAUUCCCUAUGUAGGGCUCUGAUCAGAAGUAGUGCACUCUGUAGGGAAUAGUGUGCCAUUUGGGACGUAGGUUUACUCUCUGUUGCUUUUUUUGUUUUGUGUUUUUUGUACAGUUCUAGAUGUUCAGUAAAGAUCCUGUUUUGUAACUAUUUGAAAACCCCCGUUCUGUGAACUAAUAAAGUGAUGUAUUAA